rnacentral:rRNA from 1 species
GACAGAGGGUGCAAACGUUGUUCGGAAUUACUGGGCGUAAAGCGCGUGUAGGCGGCUAUGCAAGUCGGAUGUGAAAGCCCUCGGCUCAACCGGGGAAGUGCACCCGAAACUGCAAAGCUAGAGUCUCGGAGAGGAUCGUGGAAUUCUCGGUGUAGUGGUGGAAUGCGUAGAGAUCCGGAGGAACACCAGCGGCGAAGGCGGCGUCCUGGACUGGUACUGACGCUCAGGAGCGAAAGCGUGGGGAGCAAACAGG